CAUCUUUGGUUCAUUGGUUGACACUGAGUGUCUGAUUGACAGGAACAACAGGUGAGGCUGUUUGUCUGAGCAGACAGUCAGAACGAAUGUAUGUGCACUUGAGCAUUUAGGCCUAUAUAUUUUUUGUCUUCUUUUAAUUAGUUAAUUAUGUUCAUUUAAAUAUUUUUAAUAUUUAUAUCUUCAUUUUCGUUUCAAAUUGUAUAAAUAGAUUCGGCUCUUCUGAAAUGCGAGCCGGCUCCCAACGUUCACCUACAAGACUCGUUCGCGAACGGCCCAAAGCAGUCUGGACUGGUUGAAGCAGAGUGGGAAGGAUUAUUUUGUUGCGUUUCAGUCUGCCGUGAAUCAUCAUAAUCCAUACACUGCAUAAACCUGCUCUCAGCCACCAGCAAAAGGAGAUGAUUGAGGGUGAACAUGCAACACAUCAGCUUUAGUUGUCUGGAGCCUGGUGGUGUUGUGGCCAUGGAGCUUUCACUUAGAUGGAACCAGGUUACAGCUGCUGUGCAAGGUUGACGUCCUUCCUCCUGCAAACAUAUUUUUGAGAAGAUCAGGACUUUUGCAAUGAAAAGGCCAUGGACAUUAUAUGUCCUGAUCCAAAGGGCAGAAUAGAAAUAUGCUCUCAGGCUAGAUUCCUUUGUUCAUAUCAUAACAUGACCUGAACAAAAGUUAUUCUCAGGAUCUUGUGAUAUAGGCCUAGGUCAAUAUAUUGUUUUUACCUAAGCCUUUGUGUUUGUGUGUUUUUAAGUUUUUCGUAAUUGCAGGCUACUACCUUUAGCACUUGAAGUUAAUAAAGUAUUGUUGAAAUAUUGUCUUUGUUUUUUAAGCACUACCUCACUGCUUUAGCACAUUGCCAUGGUCACGUGUUUCAAUGUGAAUUUUUUAAGAGACGGGUAGGUCUAAGCCGAUGCUAAAUGGGCGUAAACAAAGAACAGCACUGUAGCUGUUCAAUGUGAAAGGUUAUUUUUAUUAUACAGCAAUAGGCAAUGUAAUACUGUACAUGGUUUGCCUAAUGGGGUAACUUGGUAUUAGUAUUCCUAUAGAAAAGUAUUCCUUUUCUAAAUAUAUGUUUCCCAAGUAUUAAUGUAGAGUAUGUGUGAAAAUCACAGCAAAAUGUUUGAAUGCCCUUUUCUCCUAAAUGGGAUUUGAAGUUUAUCAAUUUUUAAAGCAGCAUUACUUAUCCAUGUUUCCUCCAACU